UUUAAACAAUACAAUGACCUUUGCUAUGUUCCAUAUAAUAUUUUAGAAAGAUAUAUAAAAAUUACACAUACAAAACUUCACUAUUUGUUUCAUUAUGCAUGCGAUUUGCUAGCAAACUAAAUUUUGUUUCAAUUAAUAUAGCUAACAAAAGUUCGGGAAAUCUAUUUUUUUCAAUUUAGCUUUUGGGAUAUCUGUUGACGAUGACGAUGGCGAUGACGAUGACGAUGACGAUGGCGAUGACGAGGACGAGGAUGUUGACGAUGACGAUGGCGAUGACGAUGACGAUGACGAUGGCGAUGACGAGGACGAGGAUGGCGAUGAUGACGACGACGAUGAGAUUGACGAAUGAUGAUUGGUGGCUGCACUUGGCACUCUAUACACAAGGAUCAAAUAUGCAUGAUGUGAUUUGUUGAUCAAUACAAUGGAUUGAAGACGUGGUAUCCGUAAGCAAUUUCGGACGUUAGUAUUUUACUUCAUUUUUUAUCAUCUAAAAGUAUUUAGACAUUAAUUUGGAUAUUGUUGUUUAUCUUUAAAACGUUUGAUAUUAUUGAAUUGUGUUA